AGUUUCUCAGGACUGCUAAAUUGUGAAUCGGCUAAUUUGGCACGCCUGAAAAACUAC
rnacentral:pre_miRNA from 1 species